ACACACACACACACUGUCCUCCAAAGGCAGGGCUGCGCGCGGGUCUCGACCCAGGGCACAAAGCGCGUCUCUGCAGGGACCACUGCGAUUUCUCAGUGAGCUGCGGGGGCAGAAAUAAAGAGGCCAAGAGCAGCCUGUCCCCAGCUUGAAGAAUCCUGACACACUGCCGUUAAGGAAUCGCCAUACCAAACACCAGAGGUUUAUGUGGGCCAUGCGGCCUGGGGAAGUUGCCUUCUCAGAUGAGUGUGGCCCAGGCUCCAAGCACAGCAUCCCCUGAGACGGUGCCUAGAACUGACUCUUGUGGCAGGACUGGGCCAUCUGACAGCAAUCAUCUGCAAUCUGUCCUGAGCUACCUGCUGAAGAACUCUGCCACUUGGAACCCCAAUGUGGCCUUUCCUGCCUCUGCUCCUGAUACCAUCUGGCUCUGUGUCCCCACCCAAAUCUCAUCUUGACUUGUAAUCUGAAUUGUAAUUCCCAUAUGUUGGGGAGGGACCUGGUGGGAGGUGAUUGGAUCAUGGGGGUAGUUCCCCAUGCUGUUCUCACGAUAGUGAGUGAGUCCUCGUGAGAUCUGAUGGUUAUAUAAGGGGCUCUUGCCCCUUCACCUGGCAGUUCUCUCUCCUGCUGCCUUGUGAAGAAGGACAUAUUUGCUUCCCUUUCUGCCGUGAGUGUAAGUUUCCUGAAGCCUGUGGAACUGUGAGUCAAUGAAACCUCUUUCCUUUAUAAAUUACCCAGUCUUGGGUAUUUCUUUAUAGCAGUGUGAAAACAGACUAAUACAGUUUCCCAGACUUUUCAAACAGCCCUCUCUCCCAGCCGCACUGGUAGCCCUCAGGACAAAGAACAGGAGAAUUCUGCACAUUUCCAUUGGACUAGAAAUGACGUGAAGAAUAAUGCAGGAAACAAGAGGAUGAGAGAAGACUGUUCACUCAGUAACCCCUGGCUUUCCUGGCCUGAGUCACCCUGAAAGCUCUGGAACCCCACCCUUCCCUCCACUGUCCAUAGAUGGAGGAUUUGGGAUGUGCACCUUCACCGCAUGCCCGCUACAGUAAGCAUCCUUCUUCUGGUUGCUGUGUCAUUCAGCAAUUAUUAAGGAUCACACCUUGACUUUUCACCCACGUUAGUUAAAAAGAUAGAUCAAAGCAAUCGAGAAUGUGUGAUAGCCAUAGAGAGAAGAUAGCAGCAGGCAAUUUUUAAAAAUGAAUUUUGAUUUAAAUCCUGACAUACACCUCCACAACUGCCUGCACUUCCCACUUCCUAACAGUCGGAUCCAGGAGAAGGUUACAAGGACCGCUGGGAAAUAAUAGUUCUCCAGCUCCUUCAUGUGCAGGGCCUGAGCUACCCAGUAGGGCUUCUGUAAUAAAGAAGUGGUGUUUCCAUCUGAGUGCCGGAACCAACGGGAACAAGCCCCUGCGUGGGUGUGGGAGUCAUAGCUGGGCUCUUGGGCCGAAUUUACAUCCUUUGUCUGCAAUUAGCCCGUCGCUCCUUCUGAGAACACGAAUAGUUCACUCUGUCAUAAAUGGGAAUGCUGUUCUCACCCCAAUGGGAGGGAAGAUGCCCAGAAACAUGUUUAAUGGGUUUUAUUUGAUACUUAGAAACAUUGCAGUGAUUUUCUGUUUCCAAAAAGGACAUGUUGAUAACUUUUCCAUAUGGUAGUUUUCUGCUGUGACUGCUAGUGGCUUGGCAAUUUUGAAUAUUAAAUUCCGAACGGUAAGCAGAA
ensembl:lncRNA